CAAAAAUAAAUAAACGUUGAAAAAAAAAUUAAAAUAAAAUAAAAUCAUCCACUCACUUGAUGUCAUCAUCUUUUGUAGCAUUCUCUCUGGAAAGAGAAAGAGAAGUGCUCAUUCACAAAGCCUUAGUCUCCAUUCUCCCCUUCCUCCUCCCAACCUCUCCCUCCUCUUUCCAGCUUUCUCCUCCUCCUCCCCCAGAUUUCUUACCUCUUUUCACUCCUUCAGUUGAUUCAGAGCCUAGGCAUAUGGAGACCUUAGGCAGCACACCCACAACCUCACCUCACAGUUCAAAGGGGAACUGUGGCCAGGGGCCGGUGCCAAGGUCAAAGGCAGGGGAGAGGAGGAGGUGAUGGAGACGCUUGGCUGGAAAGGUUUCCCUGUGGGUCUGUGGGGGCUGAGCCCUUACUAGCAUCCGAAGGGGGUCAGUGCUCAGCAGGGCCUGCGUCUAGGCAGAGAACCUGUCCAGCUCUGAAACUCACCUUCUGGAAAGGUUUUCUGCGUGUCAUCAUCUGAGAUGAGGAUAUCUGGGUGGGAAGAAGCCAGGCCAGGAGAGCUGAGGUUAAUCCUGCUGGACCGGUUCCCAGCCCCUGCCCGCAGCCCCCAGGCUUCCUCCUCCACACCCAGCCUGGCAGCUUUUCUCAGUGUGGCCAGGGGACGCCUCCACCAGAUUCACCUGUGAUGCUGGCUCAAACUCAGAGCCCCUGACCUAAUUCUACCUUCUGAAUCAGACUCUCUGAACAGAGCCUGGAGCCUGCCUUUUGAAUGAGCACCUGGGUUGAUCACUGUGCUGACACUGGAGAACUUCCUCUGUAAGAACUUCAGUGGAUUGGAUGAGGCCUGCCUGCGUUGGGGAAGAUAAUCUGCUUUACCAGUCUACCCGUUCAAAUCUCAUCCAGAAACAUACAGGCACACCUAGAAUAACCUUGAACCAAAAACUGUGUACCUCAUGGACCAGUCAUGUUGGCAACAUAAAAUUAACCAUCA